AUUGAACGCUGGCGGCAUGCCUUACACAUGCAAGUCGAACGGUAACGGGCCUUCGGGUGCCGACGAGUGGCGAGCGGGUGAGUAAUGUAUCGGAACGUACCUUUCAGUGGGGGAUAACGUAGCGAAAGUUACGCUAAUACCGCAUAUUCUGUGAGCAGGAAAGCAGGGGAUCGCAAGACCUUGCGCUGAUUGAGCGGCCGAUAUCAGAUUAGCUAGUUGGUGAGGUCAAGGCUCGCCAAGGCGACGAUCUGUAGCGGGUCUGGGAGGAUGAUCCGCCGCACUGGAACUGAGACACGGUCCAGACUCCUACGGGAGGAAGCAGUGGGGAAUAUUGGACAAGGGGCGCAAGCCUGAUCCAGCCCUACCGCGUGGGUGAAGAAGGCCUCCGGGUUGUAAGCCCUUUUGUUGGGAAAGAAAUCCAUCUGGUUAAUACCCGGGUGGGAUGACGGUACCCAAAGAAUAAGCACCGGCUAACUUCGUGCCAGCAGCCGCCGUAACAC
rnacentral:rRNA from 1 species